GAUGAACGCUAGCUACAGGCUUAACGCAUGCAAGUCGAGGGGUAACGAGAGGAAAGCUUGCUUUCCUUGUCGACGACCGGCGCACGGGUGAGUAACGCGUAUCCAACCUGCCCCCAACUAGGGAAUAACCUUGCGAAAGUAAGACUAAUACCCUAUAAUUUCCUCAGAUGACAUCUGACGAGGAAUAAAGAUUUAUCGGUUGUGGAUGGGGAUGCGUCUGAUUAGCUUGUUGGCGGGGUAACGGCCCACCAAGGCAACGAUCAGUAGGGGUUCUGAGAGGAAGGUCCCCCACAUUGGAACUGAGACACGGUCCAAACUCCUACGGGAGGCAGCAGAGAGGAAUAUUGGUCAAUGGGCGGAAGCCUGAACCAGCCAAGUAGCGUGCAGGAUGACGGCCCUAUGGGUUGUAAACUGCUUUUAUACAGGAAUAAAGUUAGCCACGUGUGGUUAUUUGUAGGUACUGUAUGAAUAAGGACCGGCUAAUUCCGUGCCAGCAGCCGCCGUAA
rnacentral:rRNA from 1 species